rnacentral:rRNA from 1 species
UACGGGGGGAGCAAGCGUUGUUCGGAUUUACUGGGCGUAAAGGGCGCGUAGGCGGCACCGCAAGUCGACUGUGAAAUCUCCGGGCUUAACCCGGAAAGGUCAGCCGAUACUGCGGGGCUAGAGUGCAGAAGGGGCAACUGGAAUUCUCGGUGUAGCGGUGAAAUGCGUAGAUAUCGAGAGGAACACCUGCGGCGAAGGCGGGUUGCUGGGCUGACACUGACGCUGAUGCGCGAAAGCGUGGGGAGCGAACAGG